rnacentral:tRNA from 1 species
CGUGGCGUAGUGGUGAAUACACCAGGCUGACAACCUGGUGUCGCUGG